AUUGAACGCUGGCGGCAUGCCUUACACAUGCAAGUCGAACGGCAGCACGGGAGCAAUCCUGGUGGCGAGUGGCGAACGGGUGAGUAAAGUAUCGGAACAUGCCCAGUCGUGGGGGAUAACGUAGCGAAAGUUACGCUAAUACCGCAUACGAUCUAUGAAUGAAAGCGGGGGAUCGCAAGACCUCGCGCGAUUGGAGCGGCCGAUAUCAGAUUAGGUAGUUGGUGGGGUAAAGGCUCACCAAGCCGACGAUCUGUAGUUGGUCUGAGAGGACGACCAGCCACACUGGGACUGAGACACGGCCCAGACUCCUACGGGAGGCAGCAGUGGGGAAUUUUGGACAAUGGGCGAAAGCCUGAUCCAGCCAUGCCGCGUGCAGGAUGAAGGCCUUCGGGUUGUAAACUGCUUUUGUACGGAACGAAAAGGUUUGGCCUAAUAAGCUGAGCUCAUGACGGUACCGUAAGAAUAAGCACCGGCUAACUACGUGCCAGCAGCCGCAGUAA
rnacentral:rRNA from 1 species